AUGCUUUUUUUCAUUAUACCAUACCCCUCUCUUGGACCUUUUAAGAGUCUGCCCCCUCAAGAAUGUCUUUAUAAUUUAAUCGGUCACUGCAAGCUGGACAUUGCUCCAAGGCAAGCAAAUGCUGCCAUGUCAUUGAAGAUUGGGUCACUGACUGAGAUAUGUAUCCUGAAACACGAAGAUGGAGCAAUGGAGUCAUGAGCCAAGGAAUGUGGGCAACCUCCAGAAGCUGGAAAGGCAACCACAGAAAAUGAAUACAGAGCUCAUGCUUUGGAUUACCAGGCCUUGCUGUCUUGGAUGCCUACAAAAUGAGAGCUUAUGGAAUUACUGAGCCAUCGUAAGGAAAAACAGAGAAACAUGGCUGUUUG
rnacentral:lncRNA from 1 species